rnacentral:rRNA from 1 species
UACAGAGGUCUCAAGCGUUGUUCGGAUUCAUUGGGCGUAAAGGGUGCGUAGGCGGCGCGGUAAGUCGGGUGUGAAAUCUCGGAGCUUAACUCCGAAACUGCAUUCGAUACUGCCGUGCUUGAGGACUGGAGAGGAGACUGGAAUUUACGGUGUAGCGGUGAAAUGCGUAGAUAUCGUAAGGAAGACCAGUGGCGAAGGCGGGUCGCUGGACAGUCCCUGACGCUGAGGCACGAAGGUCAGGGGAGCAAACGGG